AGUUGAAUUGCUGGAUCAUAUGGUAGCUCAACUUUUAGUUUUUUGAGGAAUUUGAAUAAUUUUUUUCCAUAAUAUCCCUACUAGUUUGCAUCCCCACCAACAGU
rnacentral:pre_miRNA from 1 species